UACGGAGGAUGCAAGCGUUAUCCGGAUUUAUUGGGUUUAAAGGGUGCGCAGGUUGUUUGAUAAGUCAGUGGUGAAAGUCUGUCGCUUAACGGUAGGAUUGCCAUUGAUACUGCUGGACUUGAAUAUGGAUGAGGUAGGCGGAAUGUGUAGUGUAGCGGUGAAAUGCGCAGAUAUCAGGAGGAACACCAAUGGCGAAGGCAGGUCUCUGGGCAGUUACUGACGCUGAGGAGCGAAAGCAUGGGUAGCGAA
rnacentral:rRNA from 1 species